ACGUUUCGACAGGGGUUUCAUUUGUAGUGAAUGAUUCAGGAACCUCAUCUGGAGAUGUAUCAUGGAGAGGCAUUUGUUCACUUCCCUUUAAGAUAUCUUCAGGAGUUUCAGAUGCAUCUGAUGAUGUUGAAGUAAGAUCAUUGAGGCAAAGAAGCUCAGUCUUCUCCAUCAAUGCAUCUGCAGGAUUAACCUCAAAAUCUUCACCUAAACAAACAUCUUGUGGGUGAACCAGAUCUUCUUUCUCCUUUAAAACAGUCUCUCCCAUUAAGACAUCACCUUCAGGAGUUUCAGCAGCAUCUGAUGAUGUUGUUGAAGUAGCAUCAUUGAGGCAAAUAAGCCCAGCCUCCUCCACUGAGGCAUCUGCAGGUCUUUCCUUAGAAUCUUGUGUUAAUGACAAAUCUAGGAGUUGAACCAAAUCUCCCUCAGCCUCUCUCAUUAAGAGAGCUUCAGCUGCAGCUG
rnacentral:lncRNA from 1 species